rnacentral:rRNA from 1 species
GGGGAAUUGUUCGCAAUGGGCGCAAGCCUGACGACGCAACGCCGCGUGGAGGAUGAAGGUCUUCGGAUUGUAAACUCCUGUUGCCCGGGACGAAUUGCUUCGACCUAAUACGUCGAAGUUUGACGGUACCGGGUGAGGAAGACCCGGCUAACUCUGUGCCAGCAGCCGCGGUAAUACAGCGGGGGCGAGCGUUGUUCGGAUUUACUGGGCGUAAAGGGAGCGUAGGUGGUUAGGUAAGCCCUCCGGGAAAUCUUCAGGCUUAACCUGAAAAGGUCGGGGGGGACUGCCUGGCUAGAGGACGGGAGAGGAGCGCGGAAUUCCCGGUGUAGCGGUGAAAUGCGUAGAGAUCGGGAGGAAGGCCGGUGGCGAAGGCGGCGCUCUGGAACGUUUCUGACACUGAGGCUCGAAAGCGUGGGGAGCAAA